rnacentral:rRNA from 1 species
AGCGAACAGAUGAGGAGCUUGCUCCUCCGACGUUAGCGGCGGACGGGUAAGUAACGCGUGGAUAACCUACCUAUAAGACUGGGAUAACUUCGGGAAACCGGAGCUAAUACCGGAUAAUAUAUUGAACCGCAUGGUUCAAUAGUGAAAGACGGUUUUGCUGUCACUUAUAGAUGGAUCCGCGCCGCAUUAGCUAGUUGGUAAGGUAACGGCUUACCAAGGCAACGAUGCGUAGCCGACCUGAGAGGGUGAUCGGCCACACUGGAACUGAGACACGGUCCAGACUCCUACGGGAGGCAGCAGUAGGGAAUCUUCCGCAAUGGGCGAAAGCCUGACGGAGCAACGCCGCGUGAGUGAUGAAGGUCUUCGGAUCGUAAAACUCUGUUAUUAGGGAAGAACAAAUGUGUAAGUAACUAUGCACGUCUUGACGGUACCUAAUCAGAAAGCCACGGCUAACUACGUGCCAGCAGCCGCGGUAAUACGUACGUG